UUAUAGUUGCGCAGGCACUCUAGUGAACCUCGGGCCAAUCGCACGUCCCCGUGAUGGCGACAACGAAUUCAGAUGUCUGCCCUAUCAAAUUUCGAUGGACUUUCUGCACCUACCAUGGUGACCACGGGUAACGGGGAAUCAGGGUUUGAUUCCGGAGAGGGAGCCUGAGAAACGGCUACCACAUCCAAGGUAGGCAGCAGGCGCACAAAUUACCCACUCCUGACGCGGGGAGGUAGUGACGA